rnacentral:miRNA from 1 species
CCUGCAGACCUGGCCUUAGCAAA